rnacentral:rRNA from 1 species
AACGAACGCUGGCGGCAUGCCUAACACAUGCAAGUCGAACGAGACCUUCGGGUCUAGUGGCGCACGGGUGCGUAACGCGUGGGAACCUGCCCUUAGGUUCGGAAUAACUCCCCGAAAGGGGUGCUAAUACCGGAUAAUGUCUUCGGACCAAAGAUUUAUCGCCUUUGGAUGGGCCCGCGUUGGAUUAGCUAGUUGGUAGGGUAAAAGCCUACCAAGGCGACGAUCCAUAGCUGGUCUGAGAGGAUGAUCAGCCACACUGGGACUGAGACACGGCCCAGACUCAUACGGGAGGCAGCAGUGGGGAAUAUUGGACAAUGGGCGAAAGCCUGAUCCAGCAAUGCCGCGUGAGGGAUGAAGGCCUUAGGGGUGUAAAGCUCUGUUAACCGGGAUGAUAAUGACAGUACCGGGAGAAUAAGCGCCGGCUAACUACGUG